CGGCCAACGCAAGUGAGUUCACUUACAACGUAAGCUCGAUCGUUACAACAAUGGUGCAAAGAGAAAAAGUAGAGUGUAAAAGUUGUAAAAUAAGUAAUCGUGCACAGUAAAAUGUGACGUUUAUUUAACAAUCCAGUAGUCGAACGUGAAAGUUUUGUGAAACCAUCAAGGCCUAAUUAGAAAAAAACUUAGUAAUAUAUAUUUGUAUAAAAAAGAAACCAAAUAUCUGGGAAUGACGCUAUGCUAGAAAGUACAUAAAGGGAAGAAAUGCGAAGAGAUCGAUUUAAAAUUAAUAAAAUUAGAAUACCUUAUUGGCAGGUAUGUACGUUAAGCUGACCAUUUACAAACAAAUUACUAGUCUAUAAGCAGAUGUAGAUAAUGAAGCCGGGCGGACCUAUAGCAUGCGAUUCUGGGAAAGUGCCAACGACGUAUGUAUAUUAAUAAGUGACCUAUCUAUUCUAAUGUUAUAAAUGAGAAAGCAACUAUCUAUGCAUGUAUUUAACGUUUUAACUCUAGAACCGCAGAACCUUUUUUAUGUGAAAUUUAGCACAGAUACAGAGGAGACUUUGAGAAAGUACAUAGGCUACUUUACAUCUCCGAACUCCCAUGGGAAAUACCGGCAACAGGAAUAAGAACCAUCGCUUUUUUCGUUUAAAUUUUAUUAUUAUUUUGAAUUAAGUUAAAAACAUAUGAUAUUUAUACAUAUUUUUAUAAUAAGACAUCUUUUCAAAUUUAAUAUUAGCAAUAAAAAAAUAUAUAUUUACAUACAAUUGAAAAACGUUUCGAGGUUUCAUACACAUUUCAAAGGUUAGUUAGAUUUUCUUCAGCGUAAUUCAAUUUCGUUGUUAUUGUCUUAUGCCUAGAAAACGUAAAUCUAUUUUAGCGCGUAUUUCAUGCAGGGCUCGCGUUGCAAAAGUAGCCAGACACCAAGAGACUGAACAGGAGCCACAAAGCCGUCUUGAAGCAAGGUCACUCUUCACCUGAUCCUUCCAACGGAGUGGAGGUCUUCCUCUUCCUCUCCUUCUGCUUUCACCAGCGGGCACUGUAACGGAUCCCCUCAAAGCUGGAGUGCUUUCAUCCAUUCAAAUCAUGCCACCUAGCCACCGUAGCCCAUAUCUCUUCAUUCGCUGAACUAUGUCGAUAUCAUCAUUAUGUUCGUACAGCUCAUCGUUCCAUUGUCUGCGGUAUUCGCCGUUGUCAAUGUGCAAAAGGCCAUAAAUCCUUUGCGACUUUUAGAGUUUGGUUUUCGUUCGUCGAGAGAAGACUUUACACUUCAAUUACCUGCUCAGUCCAAAG